rnacentral:rRNA from 1 species
AUGUCAUCAUCAGUUGUGCCCCUCAAGAGCUUGAGGAUACUAAUGAUUGCAGACCUGGCUUGCUGCACACAGCUUCCGGAUGGCCUGUGUCAGCUUCCCUAUUUGGAGUCCUUUCAGAUCAAUCGUGCUCCAGCCAUCAAGCGUAUUGGACCUGAAUUCAUGCAGUCCUACCAUCACCACAGUCCCUGUCCUUCCCAGAUGGUGGCUGCAUUUCCGAGAUUGCAUGAGAUGGAGUUAAUAGGAAUGGUGGAAUGGGAGGAGUGGGAGUGGGAGGAGCAAGUGCAAGCCUUUCCUGUCCUGCAGAAUCUUAGGCUAGAACAAUGCAAAUUGAAGUGCCUUCCUCCUGGCCUUGCCUCCCAUGCAAGGGCUUUGAAUGAAUUAAUCAAAUUGAUAGUACGUGGUCUGUUGUCUUGUGUAGGUCGUGCAGGUGGAUUUGUAUCAGUUCUGUUCCUGGAUGAAAACCUUGACUUGGAGAGGAUCACUAAUCUUCCCAGACUACAAAAGCUUACCAUCGAAGAUUGUCCAAAGCUGAAGGUGCUGGGGGGUGUUCCAGCACUCCAGACGCUCAUACUCGUGGAUAGAGACAUGGAGACACUCCCAGUAUACAUGGGAGAUAUAAACCCAAGUUAUUUGGAGCUACACUGCAGCCUACCACUGCUCGCUUCCAUAGCCACGGGACAAUCUGGCCCUGAGUGGGACAAGAUCGGUCAUGUUGAGCAUGUCAAGGCUUAUGCACGUGAAGGUGAUAAUCCAAGGAAAUGGUAUGUCUUGUACACAACUAACCCCUACAACUUGGAGACAAAUCUCAGCCUCUCUUUCAUGUCCAGAGGAACCUUAACUUUUUUAGAGGACACACAAAGAUUUGAGUCUGUCUUCAAAAUGACAAGAAAAACCUUUAGCUACAUCUGCAGCUUGGUGAUGGGACCGUCAAUGGAAGAUAUGAACAGCUGCACCUUUAUUGAUGGGAGGGUGCUAUCUUUACAAGAUCGAGUAGUUGUUGCUUUGAGAAGGUUGCAAUGUACUGAGCCAACAGAGACCAUAGGAUCCUCUGUUGGUGUGAGCGAGUCAACGGUCUUGUUGGUAACUGAGAGGUUUGUUGCUGCUGUGUGGCAGAAAGCAGAUCACCACUACCGCUGGCCAGACUCCAGACAAAUGGAUAAGAUCAAAUCCAUGUUUGACAAGAUCCACAAUAUGCAUAACUGUUGCGGUGUUAUUUGUACAAUUGACAUUACAUUUAGACCAAACUGCGACCAUGAGAAGAUUCAGAGCACUCAGUUGCAAGUCAUCGUUGAUCCAGAGAUGAGGUUCAUGGACAUUUGGUUUGGAUCAGCAGGUAGAUUAAGCCACUUAAACAGAUUGUAUGACUCUGAGCUCUUCCAAGUGUGCGAGAAGGGCGCUUGGCUGAAUGGCAGCAAGCUGAAGGUAGCAUUAGAUGAACCAGAAGUCGGGGAAUACAUAAUUGGUGAUGCAGGAUAUCCUCUUCUCCCCUGGCUACUCACACCUUACCAUGAAGAAGACCACUCAGAUUACAAAGCGGAAUUCAAUAGGAGACACUCCGCAGCCACAACCUGUGCUAUGAAGGCAGUCGCAAGGCUCAAAGACACAUGGAAGUACCUGCAGGGAAAGAUGCCGAGCCCCGUCAAUAUACGUGAGACAAUCUAUGCCUGCUGCAUGUUGCAUAACAUAGUCAUAGAAAUGGAGGAUGAUACAGCCAUGCUGAGCACCAAGCAAAAGAGGAAUUACUGUGAGGAAGUGCGCCAGUUAGCAAAUGAAGACGCUGUCAAGGCGAGGGAUAUGCUGUCGCGACACUUCAUGUCCAGCAGGCCAUCUGAAUCGGGAGAGUAG